CGCGGCCUAUCAGCUUGUUGGUGAGGUAAUGGCUCACCAAGGCGUCGACGGGUAGCCGGCCUGAGAGGGUGACCGGCCACACUGGGACUGAGACACGGCCCAGACUCCUACGGGAGGCAGCAGUGGGGAAUAUUGCACAAUGGGCGCAAGCCUGAUGCAGCAACGCCGCGUGAGGGAUGACGGCCUUCGGGUUGUAAACCUCUUUUAGCAGGGAAGAAGCGAAAGUGACGGUACCUGCAGAAAAAGCGCCGGCUAACUACGUGCCAGCAGCCGCGGUAAUACGUAGGGCGCAAGCGUUAUCCGGAAUUAUUGGGCGUAAAGAGCUCGUAGGCGGUUUGUCGCGUCUGCUGUGAAAUCCCGAGGCUCAACCUCGGGCCUGCAGUGGGUACGGGCAGACUAGAGUGCGGUAGGGGAGAUUGGAAUUCCUGGUGUAGCGGUGGAAUGCGCAGAUAUCAGGAGGAACACCGAUGGCGAAGGCAGAUCUCUGGGCCGCUACUGACGCUGAGGAGCGAAAGCAUGGGGAGCGAACAGGAUUAGAUACCCUGGUAGUCCAUGCCGUAAACGUUGGGAACUAGAUGUAGGGACCAUUCCACGGUUUCUGUGUCGUAGCUAACGCAUUAAGUUCCCCGCCUGGGGAGUACGG
rnacentral:rRNA from 1 species